rnacentral:rRNA from 1 species
CAGUCGCCGCGGUAAUACGUAGGGGGCAAGCGUUGUCCGGAAUUAUUGGGCGUAAAGCGCGCGCAGGCGGUCAUUUAAGUCUGGUGUUUAAUCCCGGGGCUCAACCCCGGAUCGCACUGGAAACUGGGUGACUUGAGUGCAGAAGAGGAGAGUGGAAUUCCACGUGUAGCGGUGAAAUGCGUAGAUAUGUGGAGGAACACCAGUGGCGAAGGCGACUCUCUGGGCUGUAACUGACGUUGAGGCGCGAAAGCGUGGGGAGCAAACAGGAUUAGAUACCCCCGUAGUCCCUGUCUCUUAUACA